rnacentral:rRNA from 1 species
CCUUCGGGUGGUUGCCGUGGGGAAUAUUGGACAAUGGGGGCAACCCUGAUCCAGCCAUGCCGCGUGUGUGAAGAAGGCCCUCGGGUUGUAAAGCACUUUCAGUGAGGAAGAACGCCUGGUGGUUAAUACCCAUCAGGAAAGACAUCACUCACAGAAGAAGCACCGGCUAACUCCGUGCCAGCAGCCGCGGUAAUACGGAGGGUGCGAGCGUUAAUCGGAAUUACUGGGCGUAAAGCGCGCGUAGGUGGCUUGAUAAGCCGGUUGUGAAAGCCCCGGGCUCAACCUGGGAACGGCAUCCGGAACUGUCAAGCUAGAGUGCAGGAGAGGAAGGUAGAAUUCCCGGUGUAGCGGUGAAAUGCGUAGAGAUCGGGAGGAAUACCAGUGGCGAAGGCGGCCUUCUGGACUGACACUGACACUGAGGUGCGAAAGCGUGGGUAGCAAACAGGAUUAGAUACCCGUGUAGUC